rnacentral:piRNA from 1 species
UUACCUGCACCGGUCAUUUCUGUCU